GACGAACGCUGGCGGCGUGCUUAACACAUGCAAGUCGAACGGAAAGGCCCUGCUUGCAGGGUGCUCGAGUGGCGAACGGGUGAGUAACACGUGGGUGAUCUGCCCCUUAUUUUGGGAUAAGCCUGGGAAACUGGGUCUAAUACUGGAUAGGACCAUGCUGUAGGUGGUGUGGUGGAAAGAUUAGUUUCGGUAAGGGAUGAGCUCGCGGCCUAUCAGCUUGUUGGUGGGGUAAUGGCCUACCAAGGCGUCGACGGGUAGCCGGCCUGAGAGGGUGGACGGCCACAUUGGGACUGAGAUACGGCCCAGACUCCUACGGGAGGCAGCAGUGGGGAAUAUUGCACAAUGGGCGCAAGCCUGAUGCAGCGACGCCGCGUGGGGGAUGACGGCCUUCGGGUUGUAAACUCCUUUCAGCCAUGACGAAGCCCUUGUGGUGACGGUAGUGGUAGAAGAAGCACCGGCUGACUACGUG
rnacentral:rRNA from 1 species